GAGAACGCUGGCGGCGUGCCUAACACAUGCAAGUCGAGCGGGGUUGAAGCGAGAGGUAACUCGAACUUCUACCUAGCGGCGGACGGGUGAGUAACGCGUGGGCAACCUGCCUCAAGGUCUGGGAUAACAGCCCGAAAGGGCUGCUAAUACCGGGUAUGCUUGUGGCCUCGCAUGGGGCUAUGAGCAAAGGGGAAACCCGCCUUGAGAUGGGCCCGCGUCCCAUCAGCUAGUUGGUGAGGUAACAGCUCACCAAGGCGACGACGGGUAGCCGGCCUGAGAGGGUGACCGGCCACACUGGGACUGAGACACGGCCCAGACUCCUACGGGGGGCAGCAGUGGGGGAUCUUGCACAAUGGGCGAAAGCCUGAUGCAGCGACGCCGCGUGAGCGAAGAAGGCCUUCGGGUUGUAAAGCUCUGUCUGGAGGGACGAAGGAAGUGACGGUACCUCCGGAGGAAGCCACGGCUAACUACGUG
rnacentral:rRNA from 1 species